rnacentral:tRNA from 1 species
GGGUUUAGGUUAAAUAAACCCGGGGCCUUCAAAGCCCCAAACAGGACUACACCCCCUAACCCCUGACCCCU